rnacentral:rRNA from 1 species
ACAUGCAAGUCGAGCGAACAGAAGGGAGCUUGCUCCCGGAUGUUAGCGGCGGACGGGUGAGUAACACGUGGGUAACCUGCCUGUAAGACUGGGAUAACUCCGGGAAACCGGAGCUAAUACCGGAUAGUUCCUUGAACCGCAUGGUUCAAGGAUGAAAGACGGUUUCGGCUGUCACUUACAGAUGGACCCGCGGCGCAUUAGCUAGUUGGUGGGGUAAUGGCUCACCAAGGCGACGAUGCGUAGCCGACCUGAGAGGGUGAUCGGCCACACUGGGACUGAGACACGGCCCAGACUCCUACGGGAGGCAGCAGUAGGGAAUCUUCCGCAAUGGACGAAAGUCUGACGGAGCAACGCCGCGUGAGUGAUGAAGGUUUUCGGAUCGUAAAGCUCUGUUGUUAGGGAAGAACAAGUGCGAGAGUAACUGCUCGCACCUUGACGGUACCUAACCAGAAAGCCACGGCUAACUACGUGCCAGCAGCCGCGGUAAUACGUAGGUGGCAAGCGUUGUCCGGAAUUAUUGGGCGUAAAGGGCUCGCAGGCGGUUUCUUAAGUCUGAUGUGAAAGCCCCCGGCUCAACCGGGGAGGGUCAUUGGAAACUGGGAAACUUGAGUGCAGAAGAGGAGAGUGGAAUUCCACGUGUAGCGGUGAAAUGCGUAGAGAUGUGGAGGAACACCAGUGGCGAAGGCGACUCUCUGGUCUGUAACUGACGCUGAGGAGCGAAAGCGUGGGGAGCGAACAGGAUUAGAUACCCUGGUAGUCCACGCCGUAAACGAUGAGUGCUAAGUGUUAGGGGGUUUCCGCCCCUUAGUGCUGCAGCUAACGCAUUAAGCACUCCGCCUGGGGAGUACGGUCGCAAGACUGAAACUCAAAGGAAUUGACGGGGGCCCGCACAAGCGGUGGAGCA